AAACCAAGAAAUUUAGUCAUUCUUUUAUGGUAAAAAGACAGUUAAGCAAAUAUAGAAAAGUUAUUAGACCCUUAGUAUAGGAGUAAAAUCUAAAUACUAAAAGUUAUACGGAAUAUGGCUUAGUUAAAAUGCUGAAGCUGUGAUAGCUUUAAGGGAAACUGGGAUUGGAUACCCCAUUAUUUUUAGUUGUAAAUUUAGUUUAAGCUUACCAGAGUACUACGAAUAAAAAAUUUAAAACUCAAAGAGCUUGGCGGUGUUUUAGACCUCUCAGGGGAACCUGUCUCAUAAUCGACAAUCCACGUUAAACCUAACCUUUGAUAGCAACUCAGCCUGUAUACCGUUGUCGUAAGGUAACUUCUUAAAAUAUAGUAGUUAGCUUGAAAAUUUUAUUAAUUAAAACGUCAAAUCAAGGUGCAGCUAAUAAAAAGGUGAAGAUGGGUUACAAUUACAUAUUUGUAAAUACGGAUAAACAUUUGAAA
rnacentral:rRNA from 1 species